GCGGCGGCCUAACACAUGCAAGUCGCAGGGGAUUGAUGCCUUCGGGCAUCAUGAGACUGGCGCACGGGUGAGUAACGCGUGGGAAUCUGUCCUCGGGUGGGGGAUAACCGCUGGAAACGGCGGCUAAUACCGCAUUCGUCCGGCCCUUAUGGGUCGGGGAAAGCUGCAUUUUCGGAUGUGGCGCCCGGGGAGGAGCUCGCGUUGGAUUAGCUAGUUGGCGGGGUAACGGCCCACCAAGGCAUCGAUCCAUAGCUGGUCUGAGAGGAUGAUCAGCCACACUGGGACUGAGACACGGCCCAGACUCCUACGGGAGGCAGCAGUGGGGAAUAUUGGACAAUGGGCGAAAGCCUGAUCCAGCCAUGCCGCGUGAGUGAAGAGGGCCUUAGGGUUGUAAAGCUCUUUCACCCGUGAAGAUGAUGUCGGUAGCGGGAGAAGAAGCCCCGGCUAACUCCGUGCCAGCAGCCGCGGUAAUACGGAGGGGGCUAGCGUUGUUCAGAAUUACUGGGCGUAAAGGGCGCGUAGGCGGCCUGUCAAGUUAGGGGUGAAAGGCCCGGGCUCAACCCGGGAACUGCCCUUGAAACUGGCAAACUAGAGUCCGAGAGGGGAUGGCGGAAUUCCCAGUGUAGAGGUGAAAUUCGUAGAUAUUGGGA
rnacentral:rRNA from 1 species